GUGCCAGCAGCCGCGGUAAUACGUAGGGCGCAAGCGUUAUCCGGAAUUAUUGGGCGUAAAGAGCUCGUAGGCGGUUUGUCGCGUCUGCUGUGAAAACGCGGGGCUCAACUCCGCGCCUGCAGUGGGUACGGGCAGACUAGAGUGCGGUAGGGGAGAUUGGAAUUCCUGGUGUAGCGGUGGAAUGCGCAGAUAUCAGGAGGAACACCGAUGGCGAAGGCAGAUCUCUGGGCCGUGACUGACGCUGAGGAGCGAAAGGGUGGGGAGCAAACAGGCUUAGAUACCCUGGUAGUCCACCCCGUAAACGUUGGGAACUAGUUGUGGGGGCCUUUCCACGGUCUCCGUGACGCAGCUAACGCAUUAAGUUCCCCGCCUGGGGAGUACGGCCGCAAGGCUAAAACUCAAAGGAAUUGACGGGGACCCGCACAAGCGGCGGAGCAUGCGGAUUAAUUCGAUGCAACGCGAAGAACCUUACCAAGGCUUGACAUAUAGAGGAAAGUUCUGGAAACAGUUCCCCCGCAAGGUCUCUAUACAGGUGGUGCAUGGUUGUCGUCAGCUCGUGUCGUGAGAUGUUGGGUUAAGUCCCGCAACGAGCGCAACCCUCGUUCUAUGUUGCCAGCACGUAAUGGUGGGAACUCAUGGGAUACUGCCGGGGUCAACUCGGAG
rnacentral:rRNA from 1 species